rnacentral:rRNA from 1 species
UGAAGCGGCAACAGCUCAAAUUUGAAAUCUGGCGCAAGCCCGAGUUGUAAUUUGCAGAGGAUGCUUCUGGGCAGCGGCCGUUCUAAGUUCCUUGGAACAGGACGUCAUAGAGGGUGAGAAUCCCGUACGUGACCGGCGCGCACCCUCCACGUAGCUCCUUCGACGAGUCGAGUUGUUUGGGAAUGCAGCUCUAAAUGGGAGGUAAAUUUCUUCUAAAGCUAAAUACCGGCCAGAGACCGAUAGCGCACAAGUAGAGUGAUCGAAAGAUGAAAAGCACUUUGGAAAGAGAGUUAAAAAGCACGUGAAAUUGUUGAAAGGGAAGCGCUUACAACCAGACUUCGGGGCGGUGUUCCGCCGGUCUUCUGACCGGUCCACUCGCCGCCGCGAGGCCAGCAUCACCUGGGGCCGCCGGAUAAGACCGUAGGAAUGUGGCUCCCCUCGGGGAGUGUUAUAGCCUGCGGUGAUGCGGCGCGCCUCGGGUGAGGUCCGCACUUCGGUAAGGAUGCUGGCGUAAUGGUUGUCAGCGGCCCGUCUUGAAACACGGACCAAGGAGUCUAACAUCUAUGCGAGUGUUCGGGUGUC